GCAAAGGAUAAACGCACUCUAUCAUUUGGAGAAGAGCUCUCUUCCGCAAGAAGCUACUCUUGCACAGUAUGGAUAAGCAAUCCAGUGCAUUGACAAUGACAGCCUCCGUCUGAUCACUUAAAGCUUGAUCAAUAUAAGGCAAGAGGUACUCCUCCACACUUCUCUGACCGACAAAGAAGCAUACGUAAACAAUUUUCUCGAAGAAUACAGAUCUUAGCUGUUCAUCUCUGUCGUUAAGAAAGGCAGGGAGGAUGGGCAGUAGAAAGUAGUUACUCUGCCUCUGACCAAAGAAAAAGCAAAGCUCCCCUAUGUCAUGAAGGAGUGCUCUUCUAACAUUCGGUGUCUGUUUUGGACCCAUAACAAGCUCUUGAACAACUUCGGCAAUAGUUUUCCUAAGCUGUGAAAGCUGUGCUUCGCCAUUUGCCUUUUGGAGCUCACUAGCAGAUGUACUGGAGAUCUGCGGCGAAGUUGAUUCAUUAAGAACCCCUACGUUGCUCAGUUGGAAAGAAUGUAUCAAGAAUCCAUAAGCAGUAAGAGCAAGUUUCGCAAUAUUGCUGGCAUAACAUAUCCUCACACUCUCUUCUGGAUCAUCAGGAAGCAUGGAGAGCAUCGGAAAUAUAUACUCAGGAAAAAUCUUCGCAUCACUGGUAACAGUCUCUGGUUCAGCUUCACUGAUGCCAGAGACUGAACUGAGUCACGGUGACAUCCUGCUGUGUCUGUUGCAGCCGCUGCAAGUACUGCCUUUGCCGUCAGUUUGGUCGCCAGAGGCCGCCUCAUUGUCUCCUGUCCAAUGCACAGGCACAAUUGCAUAAUAAAAUUUAGUCAAAACCUUAAACUGUUACUAUUAGUGUCAUAAUGUGUAGUGUGUAAUCAAAGAAAUAGCUAAUCAUCAAACCUGAACAAAUUGCACUCCAGAGUUGGUUUUGAGUUCGUAGAAAUCAUCAUUUACAACUCCCUUCAAACUCGGACCGCAUAUACAGUAACUUCUCUCAGGGCUAUGUUGGUUCAAACACACAGAAAACAAGAAUUUGCGUCAGGUUUUUGUUUAUUUAUCCACAACAAGUGUGACAAAAUAUAAAGAACACAAGUUGAAGGUUUUAGAUUUAAGAACCUGGAGUAAUCCCAACGCCGAAUCUUCAAGUCAGUACCACCUGUUAACAAGUCGCCUCCUGGUAAAGGAAGCAACGAGCGGAUACCAGGAAGACGAGGAGGAGGCUCGUUCAACUCUUCAAUUCUAUACUUGGAGCUCAUGUUCUUGCGAAUAUUCGCCUUGGGAUUUGCCUUACUGCUUGGUAGCUUCCACUGAAACUCGGAAACAUUCGUCUCAUUUUCAUAGUUGGCUACUCUCCAUACCUACAGAAUCAGCUCAUUUAUAAGUCUCCAACUCAAUGCUAUGGUCUAAUUUAUUAAAACCUGAGUUACUUCCAUGGACUAACAUCAAAGCUGAAACCCCAAUGACUAUUAAAACUAUCUAAAUCUGUUCCACUCUAUAGUUCAUAGUUUCUAACUUUCUAUUCAAACUUGUAAGAUCCCAGUAAAAUGGUAAAACAACAUUACCUGUUGACAGAUGCCUCCAUCUGCAUUCCAGAGUGAAACUUCAUUGAAACCAGCAGCAACGUAAAUAAAAGGUCUCAUCGUGGAAGACAGCGAGGCGCUUGGAGGAAGAAAGCAGAGGCACAUCUUUUCAAUGGGGCAUAUUAUAGGGUAUUGCCACGAAUUUACAGGAACACGAAACCUCAAAUCCCAAAGAGUAAGCACUCCCCUUGAAGACCCAGACACGAACCAAUUCCCGCAUGGGCUUGUAACCAAAGAAGACACAUAUCCUUCCUCAGGGUUUGCUUUCAGCGUCCACGCAUCUAUAUCUGAUCUUGUAUCCCAAAGGUGGAUCCCACAGUUUUGGGUGCUAUACAUUACCAUCGGGCCAGAUAAGCUAUCAGAGGUAUAAUUCAAAAGAGAAAGUAAGGCGCCUUCUUUAACAUCCUUCUUUUUGAUAUCAACAAUGCCUGAAUACUUCUCCACCACAUUCCCCAAGCCUCUGGAGAUAUGGUCAAUGGAAAACAUAUGUAACACACCGUCGGAGGCUCCAACUACAACUUGAGUUGAAUUCCUAAGCAUUGUUGUGCACAUCCCUCUGCUUCCCUCGAGAUGAUACGUUAGCCUUGACCUAAACGAGAUGUCCUUUUCCAGCUUUCUAGAGUCCCACACCUUUACUGUUGAAUCAUCUGAUGCGCUAACGAAAAAGCUAUGAUCGCUUGAAGUGGCAAUGUCGUUGACCGCAGAGCGGUGCUCCUGUAGAUGAGCAACUAAUACUCCACGAGGCUUCCAACCUGAAUCAGGAACCGAUGUCCUCGACGAAGAUGGUUCUCCUACGAGAUCCGAUAUUGAAGACGCGUCUUCUGAAGUCACAGAAGCGCUUUUCAAGGAGGUGGAUACACCGAGGUCUUGAAACUUGCUGAUGACUGAGGACAUUUGCUCGUUUUCUCUGCUUUCUGGCUCAUGUACCACUCUGUAAAACUGUUUAGGAUUGGUGCCAACAUGGAAUGAUCCAGAAACUAGCUUAGGCACUGGAACCGAACUAGCCAAGUUAAACGACUUGCUCAUGGAAUCCAUCCAUGGUACUGACAACGAACUCAUGCCCAGAGAAUUCAUCUGCAAUGAAGACUCAGAAGCCACAGGAGGAUUCGUGGCUGCUCGUUUGUCCAUGUUAAACGAAUAGAGAGGUAUCCCCUCUGGUUCAGUUACGUUAUUCAUACCAGACAUGUAUGGUGCCAUAAGCCCAGAGAACUGUAACUUCUCCUGAUUCAAGUGAUCACGGAGCUCAACUGUGUUAGAAGCAUUGAGUCUUGGGUUUCUCGGGAUUCUCAGUUUAGCAUCUUUCUCUGCAUACUUUCCUUGAACUUCUUGCUGCUGUAAUGCGUUCAUAAUCGGUUUUUUCCCUUCCACGCUUUUCUUCUGUUCGGCCCCGUGUUCUAACAAGUUCAAGGUCCCAGACUGAGGUGAAGUACUGUACCAUAUCUUCCGCUGUUUGUCAGCGAUUUCUGGUUUCCUGGCAGUUUCCAAGAUACGGUAAACGGCUUCCCUUGUGACUGGGGGCUUUAGGCAUGAAAACAAACCUUCCUCAGAAGCAAUUGAUGCGGGAAGUCUACUGAGAAAGGGACGUAUCACUGGGGCGAUAAAGGCAAAAGAGUCGACAGCACCUAAGAAUUCACUACAGGCAGCGAUGAAAGUGACGACUGCCUUCCUUACCCAUUGAGAUGGAUAGUACAGCAAAGGAUAAACGCACUCUAUCAUUUGGAGAAGAGCUCUCUUCCGCAAGAAGCUACUCUUGCACAGUAUGGAUAAGCAAUCCAGUGCAUUGACAAUGACAGCCUCCGUCUGAUCACUUAAAGCUUGAUCAAUAUAAGGCAAGAGGUACUCCUCCACACUUCUCUGACCGACAAAGAAGCAUACGUAAACAAUUUUCUCGAAGAAUACAGAUCUUAGCUGUUCAUCUCUGUCGUUAAGAAAGGCAGGGAGGAUGGGCAGUAGAAAGUAGUUACUCUGCCUCUGACCAAAGAAAAAGCAAAGCUCCCCUAUGUCAUGAAGGAGUGCUCUUCUAACAUUCGGUGUCUGUUUUGGACCCAUAACAAGCUCUUGAACAACUUCGGCAAUAGUUUUCCUAAGCUGUGAAAGCUGUGCUUCGCCAUUUGCCUUUUGGAGCUCACUAGCAGAUGUACUGGAGAUCUGCGGCGAAGUUGAUUCAUUAAGAACCCCUACGUUGCUCAGUUGGAAAGAAUGUAUCAAGAAUCCAUAAGCAGUAAGAGCAAGUUUCGCAAUAUUGCUGGCAUAACAUAUCCUCACACUCUCUUCUGGAUCAUCAGGAAGCAUGGAGAGCAUCGGAAAUAUAUACUCAGGAAAAAU
rnacentral:lncRNA from 1 species